rnacentral:rRNA from 1 species
UACGUAGGGGGCGAGCGUUUGUCCCGAAGUUACUGGGCGUAAAGCGCGCGUAGGCGGGUUGGCAAGUCUGCUGUGAAAGCCCGGGGCUUAACUCCGGAGGGUCGGUGGAUACUGCCAGUCUUGAAGGUGCUAGGGAGAGAUGGAAUUACCGGUGUAGCGGUGAAAUGCGUAGAUAUCGGUAGGAACACCAGUGGCGAAGGCGGUCUCUUGGGGCAUUCUUGACGCUGAGGCGCGAAGCUGGGGGAGCGAACGGG